rnacentral:RNase_P_RNA from 2 species
GCAGAUGGAUAAUUCGUCGCUUGCAUUAUUUUGAUGCAAGAGGAAAGUCCGGGCAACAUAGGGCAACUUGCUUCUUAAUGGGAAGUCAUCUGUGAAGGUGAAUAAUUGCAGAAGAAAAUAACCGCCAUUUUGUGGUAAGGGUGAGAAGGUGGGGUAAGAGCCCACCAGUUAUAUGGUGACAUAUAAGCUGUGCAAGUCAAGUGUUGAAAGUUCAUGUAUACUGGUGUCUGAGAGCGGCCCGUUCAAGUUCUUCUCAAAAGGGAGAUACAUCAGAGGGUAGAACGAUAGAGUUUAUUGGUGACAAUAAAUCUAGAUAAAUGACGAAUGACCGUCAUGGUUUACAGAACCCGGCUUAUCGUUUGUCUGCAUUU